rnacentral:rRNA from 1 species
UACGUAGGGGGCAAGCGUUGUCCGGAAUUAUUGGGCGUAAAGCGCGUGUAGGCGGUUCGGUAAGUCUGCUGUGAAAGUCCAGGGCUCAACCCUGGAAUGCCGGUGGAAACUGUCGAGCUAGAGUCCGGAAGAGGCGAGUGGAAUUCCUGGUGUAGCGGUGAAAUGCGCAGAUAUCAGGAGGAACACCAAUGGCGAAGGCAGCUCGCUGGGACGGUACUGACGCUGAGACGCGAAAGCGUGGGGAGCAAACAGG